UACGAAGGGGGCUAGCGUUGCUCGGAAUCACUGGGCGUAAAGGGUGCGUAGGCGGGUCUUUCAGUCAGGGGUGAAAUCCUGGAGCUCAACUCCAGAACUGCCUUUGAUACUGAAGAUCUUGAGUUCGGGAGAGGUGAGUGGAACUGCGAGUGUAGAGGUGAAAUCCGUAGAUAUUCGCAAGAACACCAGUGGCGAAGGCGGCUCACUGGCCCGAUACUGACGCUGAUGCACGAAAGCGUGGGGAGCAAACAGG
rnacentral:rRNA from 1 species